rnacentral:rRNA from 1 species
CCUACGGGAGGCAGCAGUGAGGAAUAUUGGACAAUGGGCGCAAGCCUGAUCCAGCCAUGCCGCGUGCAGGAUGACGGUCCUAUGGAUUGUAAACUGCUUUUGUACAGGAAGAAACAGUUCUACGUGUAGAACCUUGACGGUACUGUAAGAAUAAGGAUCGGCUAACUCCGUGCCAGCAGCCGCGGUAAUACGGAGGAUCCAAGCGUUAUCCGGAAUCAUUGGGUUUAAAGGGUCCGUAGGCGGUUUAGUAAGUCAGUGGUGAAAGCCCAUCGCUCAACGGUGGAACGGCCAUUGAUACUGCUAAACUUGAAUUAUUAGGAAGUAACUAGAAUAUGUAGUGUAGCGGUGAAAUGCUUAGAGAUUACAUGGAAUACCAAUUGCGAAGGCAGGUUACUACUAAUGGAUUGACGCUGAUGGACGAAAGCGUGGGUAGCGAACAGGAUUAGAUACCCUGGUAGUCCACGCCGUAAACGAUGGAUACUAGCUGUUGGAAGCAAUUUCAGUGGCUAAGCGAAAGUGAUAAGUAUCCACCUGGGGAGUACGUUCGCAAGAAUUGAAACUCAAAGGAAUUGACGGCUUGAGACCGNGCGAGACGACGACGAGGAGGAGG